GUUGGCUGUGGGUUUGUCAUAGAUGGCUUUUAUUACAUUAAGGAAACUUGCUUCCCUUCUUCCUGCCCUUGGACAUGAGACUCCAGGUUCUUAUGCGUUUGGACUCUGGGACUUGCACCAGUGGCUUCCCCGAGGCUCUCAGGCCCCCGGCCUCAGACUGAAGACUGCACUGCGGGCUUUCCUGGUUUUGAGGCUUUUGGACUUGGACUGAGCCACUACUAGCUUCUCUCUUUCCCUACCUGGCAGACAGCCUGUUGUGGGACUGCCUUCUAACCGUGUGAACCAAUUCUCUCUGGGAGCUUAUAGCUUCAUUGCACUGUGUGUGGCAUUUGGGUCCUGUUUGACAGCAAUGACUGCCUUUUUGUUUAGUGUCUGUGUGCUAUGAAGAUUGCACACAGGGGUCCAGAUGCAUCCUGUUUUGAGAAUGUUAAUGGAUACACCAGCUGCUGCUUUGGAUUUCACCCAUUGGUGGUAGUGGACCCGCUGUUUGGAAUGCAGACAAUUUAAGUGAAGACAUAUCCAUAUAUGUGGCUCUGUUACAAUGGUGAAAUCUACAACCAUAAGAAGCCAAAAAUGUGAGUAUGACAUACAAAGAGAAAUACAUCAAGGACUUUUCAUCCUCAUAGUUUGCCAGUGAUGCUGGAGAGUGUCAGAAUUGGUGCAGCACCAGUUUGAAUUUGAAUACCAGACCAAAGUGGAUGGUGAGAUAAUCCUUCAUCUUUAUGACAAAGGAGGAAUUGAGCAAACAAUUUGUACGUUGGUUGGUGUGUUUGCAUUUGUUUUACUGGAUUCUGCCAAUAAGAAAGUGUCCCUGGACAGAGAUACAUAAGGAGUCAGACCUUUGUUUAAAGCAGUGACAGAAGAUGGAUUUUUGGCUGUGCGUUCAGAAGCUAAAGUUCUGGAGGCCACAAGUCCAAAAUCAAGGUGUGGGCAGAAAUGCGCUCCCUCUGCAGACUCCUGGGGAGGAUGCUUGUUUCUUCCAGCUCUGCGACUGUGGUGCCUGCAGCCAUUGGAACCAGCUCUGCACGGCUCAGACCUGGGUGAUGAGGACACAGCUUUGCAGCAGCUCCUGAAUGUUCCGGAUGAGCUCAGCUUCCUGAGGGAGGAGACGCCCUGAGCACCAGAGCCGGUCCUUGGUGAGGAUCCCAGGAGGCCCAGCUGCUGCAGGCCUUGGUCAACACCUGAGCAACCAGAAAUAGUUGAAUGCCGGGCCUGAGCUCUGACUGUGCAAGUUCUGCUCUCUCACUGGGUUUAUCCUGGGCUUUUGGGCAUUCUCCUUGGUGCGUUGUAAGUGGGGUGUUUUCCUCCAGGGCCUUCUAUGGGCUGCUGGGAAGGUCACUCAGUGGCAGUUCCCACGCCCCAGGCCUCAAGAGUCAUCACUGCUGCUCACUCAGUGCACCCAGGAACGUUGGCCUGUCCCUGGCCUCUGGACAGCUCCUGAGGACCCAAACUCUGGGGGCCCAGAUGCCCGCCCAGGCUGCCCCUCAGGGCUCUGUGUUGGGAAAGACCAUCCUCACACCAAGAGCAGGAGGAAGACCCUGUGUUUCUUCUUACUGCCUGGCCAGUUUAAUUUUCUGUGUGUAGGAACAAGACUUUUUUCCCUGUGAUUGGGGUCUUUGCCUGGACCACCAGCUACCUCCUUGUGUGCCAGAGCCCGAGUCCUGCACCCCUCUGUCCCUGGGUUUUCCUCUUCCUGCACUGUCAGUGUCUCCAUCACUUCGCAGGCACCCUUGUUGCAGGCAGAGGGUUUGCGGGAGCUGCAGCAGUUCUUGAGGCACUGAGAGGGUGCAGGGGGAUAGGCCUGCAGAAGGGGAAGGGAGGGAGGAGGGAAGGCAUGAGGGGAGGGAGGGACUCAAGGGUUCUUGCCUGAGUUUGGGGGUAUGGCAGGAGACCAGCUGCCUCCACCCCACAUCUUUCACAAAUGUCUACAGGCCUGUAGUGGUUCUCAUGGAGGCCCCAGGCUCUGAGAGCUCAGGGAAUUCUCCAGAGCCAGCAUCAGGGCCAGGACUGAGUUACUUCCUCACCCUAUGGGGUUGCCCCAUAGACAAGCUGGGCUGGAUUGGGAAGUUACAGGUGACAUGGAGAAGGGGACCUGUGGGUGCAGAUCUUCGUGUCCCUGGCUCUGUAUAGGAUGAAUGGGAGCAGUGGCUCCCAGCCUAUCCCACCCUACCUGUCCACACCCGCAGUGCUGGCCCAGACCUCGGUUUCCACCUCGGGAGCAACUGUCCCAACCAGGGAGGGUCUCUGGGGAGCCCAGGGUCAGGAUGACUGUGCCAGGACUCAAAGGUAUUGGAGGAGGAGAGGAGAAACAGCUGCUUGGAAGUCAGGGGCCUUCUGGGGCAAAACUGCCUCCUGUCACUAAGGGGUCAGAUUUCGGGACUCAGGGGUCUCACGCACAGAGGGCUGGUCUCCCGUGUGCUUGCAGCAGCCACGUGGCUUGUCCACAUGAACUGCCGGGGGCUCCUCCUCUCUGUGCCCACAAGUCCUGGCCACCCAAGGCUGCUGGCACCUUCAGCAGCUCUGUCUCCACAUGGUCACGCAAAAGGUUGGUGUGCUGGUGGCGCUGGCUGCACUGCAUGUUGUCAGUGGUGAUGGAGAAGGGCACCUCCAUGGCAUCCAGGGCGCGCUCCAGCCGUUGCUUCUGGGCCAGCAGCAGGUCGGUCUCCGCAGCCAGUGCCUCCACCUCACGCUGCAGCUCCGACUUCCAGCUGUUCGUGUCCUGCAGUCGCUCGCCCACCCUGCACGUGGAGUCUUGCUGUGUCGGCUGUGCCAGUGCCUGGGUCUCUGCGGCCAGCUGCUGGCUCUCGUGCCCCUGCAGCUCCCGCUCUGACUGGUUGCAGUUGGCGAAGGCCUGGCGGUAGCGAGCAUAGCAGUUCUGGAACCACACCUCCAGCCAGCGGUGGCCAGGCCGGAGGACGUGUAGGCGCCCGUGUUUCUGGCCACGUCAUACUCUUUGCAGGGCAGCUCGUAGGGUGGCACUGUCUGUGGGGCCAGCUCUGGUAGGAGCACAUCCGUCUGCACCAUGGUGUCUGCCGCCCACCAGGGCCAGGGGAGUGAGGAGUGUGUGUGGUCAGCUUGUUGCGGUCAGCCCAGUGCAGUCAUCGGUCGGCUCCAACGGCUCAGUCCCAGAGCAGGACCUGGCUCCCAGUCGCUUGGGUGACACAGUAAACCAAGAGCUUCCUGUUGCCAAGAAACGGGAUCUCUUCUCCAGUGGCUAGGGGAGGGGGCAUUCAGGGCGGUGGGCAGAAUUGCCCUCUUAAAGGGCCAGGCAGCCCCAGCCCCACCAUCCCUGUCCCCACCUCGGGGCAAUCAACAGUGGCCAAGGGUUCCUGUCACUUAGAGGAUCCCAGGGCCAGCCCGUCUCCAGCCUCUGUGUCCCACUCUUAGGGUUCAGGGUGUGGGUGGGGACCUACUGCCCUGGCCCCUUCGUUGAUUCAUCCAUUUGUUCCUAGUUUGCUCUCUGAUCCUGUCCUGUGCGGAGCUCUGCGCUCAGGGUGAACAAGACAGAGGAGGCUCUGCCCACCUGCCCCCUCAGGGCAGAGGGCUGUGGCUGUUGUGUGGAUGUUGGGUGUGCUGAGUGAUAGUGUUACUUGAUGCCGUACAGGUGGCUGCUCUCCCUGCCCUCCUGGCCCCAACAGCAGCCUGGUAGCACAGGGAGGGUCCCAGGCCAGGCCCCCUCAGGGGCAGUCUGAGGCAGUUCCUGCAGGGACUCCGCUCCAUUUUCUCCUGGACCUAGUGCCUGAGAGCCAGGCCCUGGCCUCUGGCCUUCUCCUCCCAAGUCCCAGCCAGGGUCCUCUCAGGCUGGGCACAGUGGGGAGGGAGGGAGUCUGAGUGUGCUUUUCCCUGGGGAGUUGAAUUCAGCCUCUGGGUAAGUGUCCAGAGUCAGAUGCCCAACUCUGCCCCACAGGGCGGAGGCAGGUCCUGUGCUGCCGAGGCUGCCCUGAAAGCCACCCAGGGCCAUGCUGCCUGGCAGAGGCUGGAUGGGCAGGAAGCGCCCCAGGACACAUCGGAGUCCCCCAAACCUGGGGCCAGGGGAGCCCCAGCCUAGGCGCGAUUCCCCACGCAGCCAGCGGAGGGUGGCGUUGGUCUGGCGGUGAGAAGCCUGCGGCUCCUGGCUCGGCCUCCCCUCCGCCUGCCUGGCGCAUGCAGUCCUGGGGACCCCAGCCCCUCCGGCCUCCUCUUCCCUGAGAAUCCCGCACCAGAAAGUCCUCGCUAGGAAGUCCAUGCCCUUCCUACAGCACAGGCCCCUGGGCCCCUGUUCCUUCCACCUUCACCUCCUCUCUCACCACAGCCCACACCCUCACUCCAGCCACAGGAGCCGGGGCUCCUCCUGGGCCAUUUCUACCACCCCGCCCAAGUCUCACCAGCACAACCAUGUGCCGGCCAGUGCCCUCCUCCUGGACCUGACCUCCCCCGGACCUGACCUCUCCCGUGGCCAGAACCCUCAGUCCAUGCAGCUGUCACCACGGUGCGCCUGGCCUGACACAGCCUCCUGAUGGGGCUUUGAGGACAGCAGCCAGUAGACUUACCCCAACCCAGGCCGAGCCAGAACCUAUUGCAGGUGGCCUGGGAACCUCUUCUCACUGUCCGUCAAGAUUGGGAGGUCAGCGGACCUUCAGGGACUGGUGUGGUCUGAGAAACAUCCUUGAGCCUCGCCAUGACUCAGUUUCCCCAGAUGGCAUCAGGCUGGAGCCCAUGCAGGGCAGGAUGCCAGGCUCCACCUUUUGUCUGGAACCUGCAUUCACUGGGCACCUCUCUGUAGGCAUAGCAGAGCAGAGCUCCCUGUUUCUGUCCCUGAUCUGCAGCCCCAGGAGCCCGAGAGACCACCUAAGCCAAGGGGAAGGCCUCUGGGCCAGAGCCCAGCUCUGCGAAGUGGGAGACCUCUCAGCCACCACUUCCAGGUGCCCUGAAGUCGUUGGCAGGGGGUGCUGCCUACUUGGGGCUCCCAGACUAAGGGAACACAUUCACCUGGUGACCACAAUAGGCCCUGCAGGCUGAGGCACAGGAUUUGACCAAGGACGCAUCAGAGUUAGGGGACUGGGCCCUGACUCCUGCCAGCUGCAAACUCCCAAAGCCCCCAGCCCUCUCAUGGGGUGAAGACACCCUGAAGGACACUCCAGUGUGCUCCCACCUCUGGGUUCUGCCAGCCAGAGAGUGGGACUCUCAGGCCACAUGUGUCUUGCUGGAUCUCAGCUUCAGGGACCCAGGGUGCUGGCAGCUCUCUGAGACCUGGGUCAGGGGGUGUCCAUUAGAGCACCUUGGUCAGGACCCAGAGAUAGGGAGGGCAGGGCUAAGAGCACCCCAGGCAGUUGGCAUCUCCAGAAAGCAGGAGGUAGGGCAUGGCUCUGUGACAGAUGUUCCAUGACAGGGAGGAUUGGAGGGACAGAGGGACGUGCUCAGGGGCUGAGGGGCAGACGAGGCCACCAAAGGGCACCUUGGACACUGGAUGGCCCCAGGAAGGCCCCUGAACCCCAUCCUGAUUGAUCCAGGGCCAGUGACCUUGGCCCAGACUGCAGGCCUGGGAAUUCAGGUUCCUUUAGUUUCUUAAGAAACUACUAUACUCCUUUUUGGCAUAGCUGUACGAUUUUACAUUCCCACCAGUCAUGUGUGAAAGCUCCAGUUUUUACUCAUGCUCCCCAGCGUUUGAUGUUUUAUUUUUAUUUUAGCUAUUCUGAUAUAUAUGUGUUAGUCAUUGUGGUCUUAAUUUGCAAAUUUCUAAUGACUAAUGAUAUUUAACAUCUUUUCCUGUUCAUAAUUAAAUACCAUCUGUAUUCCUUUUCACAUAUCAUUAGCACAAAUGUGAGAUAUCAGAACAAAAUUUUUCACACAACUUCAAAAUUUUUAGAACAAUACUCAAGGGAAAAGGUGUUUAUUUAGAACAAUGAAAACAAUGAGACAUUAACUUCCAGCUUAAAUAAAGUUGAUUGUGUGCAUAAAAAUGGUGAAAAUAUUGGACUUUCUUGGCAAAAGAAGAAAGGGGAAGACUUUAUAUUUUCUGACAUAAUAUUCAUCAUUUGUCUUUGGUUUGUGUAUUAUGUGUAUGAUUUUGAAAAAAAUGCAUCAAAGAUAUAACUUUCUGGUGUUUGCUUUGAUAUUAUCCUUGCAAACAGAAAAGUUGGCACAUGUUUCUGUAUAAAACUGGUCAAAGUUGGCCUAGGAAUGAUCUUACAUUGUACUUUCACUUUACAUCAUACUGUAAGAGUUUAA